rnacentral:rRNA from 1 species
UGGGGAAUAUUGCACAAUGGGCGAAAGCCUGAUGCAGCAACGCCGCGUGAGCGAAGAAGGUCUUCGGAUCGUAAAGCUCUGUCCUUGGGGAAGAUAAUGACGGUACCCUUGGAGGAAGCCCCGGCUAACUACGUGCCAGCAGCCGCGGUAAUACGUAGGGGGCAAGCGUUAUCCGGAAUUAUUGGGCGUAAAGAGUGCGUAGACGGGAAAUUAAGUUAGUUGUGAAAUCCCUCGGCUCAACUGAGGAACUGCAACUAAAACUGGUUUUCUUGAGUGCAGGAGAGGAAAGUGGAAUUCCUAGUGUAGCGGUGAAAUGCGUAGAUAUUAGGAGGAACACCAGUGGCGAAGGCGACUUUCUGGACUGUAACUGACGUUGAGGCACGAAAGUGU